AUCAUAGAUAAAAUGCAAAUUUUUAAUACUUUGUAGAGAACCCUUUACAGGUAAUAACUGCUUGAAGUCCGAAACAUAUGGACAUCAUUAAACGCUGGGUUUCGUCCCGUGCUAUGCUUUGCCAGGCCUUCAUUGCAGCAGUCUUCACUUGUUUGUUUGUGGGUCUUUCUGCCGUAAGUUGUCUUCAGCAAGUGAAAUGCAUGGUCGAUCAGAUUGAGAUCAGGUGAUUGAUGCAGGCAUAUUCCACUUCUUUAUGUUAAAACAAACUCCUGGAUUGCUUGCACAGUAAGAUUUGGGUCAUUGUCCAUCUGUAAAGUGAAGCGCCGUCUAAUCAACUUUACUGAAUUAAGCUGAAUCUGAGCAGGCAACAUAUAUGUAUUUAGAUAUACAAAAGAUCCCGAGAUACGACUGUAUAAAAUCUAAAUUAGGAACUGGUGGGUAUAAGUUGUAUAAAAUUUAUUAUAAAAAAGGGGCCAUAUACAUUAGCCAUCCAAGAUAAAACAAAACAUCCUACGCGUUUCGUUCCUGUGGUUAGGAACUUCCUCAGGGACCAGAUUCAAAUGAUACAGCAGUAAAAACAAUCAAUACAGAAAAAAAAAAAAAAAAAAUCAAACAAUAUCCCCCCAUGAGUCUCUCUAAAUAGGGCUAAGCCCUCAGUUCAUUGGUGGAUCCUGUGGUCCU